rnacentral:rRNA from 1 species
ACACGACUACAUUAGAUACCCGCGUAGUCCUAGCCGUAAACGAUACUCGCUAGGUAUCGGCCACGGUGCGACCGUUGUCGGUGCCGUAGGGAAGCCGUGAAGCGAGCCACCUGGGAAGUACGGCCGCAAGGCUGAAACUUAAAGGAAUUGGCGGGGGAGCACCACAACGGGUGGAGCUUGCGGUUUAAUUGGAUUCAACGCCGGAAAUCUUACCGGGACCGACAGCAACAUGAAGGCCAGGCUGAAGACUUUGCCGGAUUAGCUG